CGACGACAGGGUACACGGAGCAAUGGCGGCCGGCACCGCCCAUCUGCCCCGCCCCGGCUUCACGUGACUAACUGGGCUUGUGCGCGCAAUCGGAAGGGGCGGACUCCUUUCCCCGCAGGCCGGAAACCCCGCACCUCAGGGUGCGUAAUGGACAUAAGGUAAACAAUUCCUGGAGAAACUUUCCGGCAUCCCACCCGACCCUGCCCAGCCUCCCGUUAACCAGUGCGCAAGUGCGAGGAGGCGGUGCCCAGCGCUCCGCCGCCCCACCCUCUGCAGAGGUGAAGACGUCACUGAGCAUCGACGCGCACUUUUAGGACGCGUUUGUGACCCGCCUUCUGGAAGGGAUCCCCAGCAGCUAACUACGGCGACCACCACGGAGCAGUGGGAUCUGGUGGAGAUGGUAGAGGCGCUCUACGAGGUGAGGGACUCUGUCAGGUCCUGCAUACCAAUGAAACUACUGAUGCCAGCUGGUCUGAAGGACCCCACAGGAGCUGACUCACCAAAGAACACAGCUUGUACACCCUGAUGAUUUCAUCCUCCCUACCCUGACCAAUCAACAACCCCACUCUUACAUCCCUCACCUUCCAUAAUCUCCUUAAAAUCCUCAGCUCAGAACUCCUCCAGAAGAUGGGUUUGAGGGUCUCCACCAUCUCCUGCUCCAUCCCUGUGAUCAUUAAACUCUCUGCUGCAAA